AUUGAACGCUGGCGGCAGGCCUAACACAUGCAAGUCGAACGAGUGGCGGACGGGUGAGUAAUGUCUGGGAAACUGCCUGAUGGAGGGGGCUAACUACUGGAAACGGUAGCUAAUACCGCAUCCCAUCGGAUGUGCCCAGAUGGGAUUAGCUAGUAGGUGGGGUAAAGGCUCCCCUAGGCGACAAUCCCUAGCUGGUCUGAGAGGAUGACCAGCCAACAGUGAACGGAGACACUGUCCAGACUCCUACGGGAGGCAGCAGUGGGGAAUAUUGAACAAUGGGCGCAAGCCUGAUGCAGCCAUGCCGCGUGUAUGAAGAAGGCCUUCGGGUUGUAAAGUACUUUCAGCGGGGAGGCGUUACCCGCAGAAGAAGCACCGGCUAACUCCGUGCCAGCAGCCGCGGUAAUUC
rnacentral:rRNA from 1 species